rnacentral:tRNA from 1 species
UCCCCUGUAGCUCAGCUGGUAGAGCAGGUGACUGUUAAUCACCGUGUCCCUGGUUCGAUCCCAGGCGGGGGAGCCA